rnacentral:rRNA from 1 species
GACGAACGCUGGCGGCGUGCUUAACACAUGCAAGUCGAGCGGAAAGGCCCUUUCGGGGGUACUCGAGCGGCGAACGGGUGAGUAACACGUGAGUAAUCUGCCCUGGACUCUGGGAUAGCCACCGGAAACGGUGAUUAAUACCGGAUAUGUCACCUUGCUGCGUGGUGGGGUGUGGAAAGUUUUUUCGGUCCAGGAUGUGCUCGCGGCCUAUCAGCUUGUUGGUGAGGUAAUGGCUCACCAAGGCUUUGACGGGUAGCCGGCCUGAGAGGGUGACCGGUCACACUGGGACUGAGACACGGCCCAGACUCCUACGGGAGGCAGCAGUGGGGAAUAUUGGACAAUGGGCGGAAGCCUGAUCCAGCAACGCCGCGUGAGGGAUGACGGCCUUCGGGUUGUAAACCUCUUUCAGUACCGACGAAGCGUGAGUGACGGUAGGUACAGAAGAAGGACCGGCCAACUACGUGCCAGCCGCCGCCGUAAAAC